rnacentral:rRNA from 1 species
UACGUAGGAGGCGAGCGUUGUCCGGAUUUACUGGGCGUAAAGGGCGCGCAGGCGGCCUUGCAAGUAGCGUGUGAAAUCCACCUGCUCAACGGGUGGGGUGCAUGGUAGACUGCAGGGCUAGAGGACGGUAGAGGGGGGUGGAAUUGCUGGUGUAGCGGUGAAAUGCGUAGAGAUCAGCAGGAACACCGGUGGCGAAAGCGCGAGACUGGGCCGUAACUGACGCUGAGGAACGAAAGCCAGGGUAGCCAAAGGG